UAAUACGGAGGGUGCAAGCGUUAUCCGGAUUUAUUGGGUUUAAAGGGUCCGUAGGCGGACUUGUAAGUCAGUGGUGAAAUCUCAUAGCUUAACUAUGAAACUGCCAUUGAUACUGCAGGUCUUGAGUAAAUUUGAAGUGGCUGGAAUAAGUAGUGUAGCGGUGAAAUGCAUAGAUAUUACUUAGAACACCAAUUGCGAAGGCAGGUCACUAAGAUUUAACUGACGCUGAUGGACGAAAGCGUGGGUAGCGAACAGGAUUAGAUACCCUGGUAGUCCACGCCGUAAACGAUGCUAACUCGUUUUUGGAUUUUUAAGAUUCAGAGACCAAGCGAAAGUGAUAAGUUAGCCACCUGGGGAGUACGUUCGCAAGAAUGAAACUCAAAGGAAUUGACGGGGGCCCGCACAAGCGGUGGAUUAUGUGGUUUAAUUCGAUGAUACGCGAGGAACCUUACCAAGACUUAAAUGGGAAUUGACAGAUUUAGAAAUAGAUCCUUCUUCGGACAA
rnacentral:rRNA from 1 species